rnacentral:rRNA from 1 species
UACGUAGGGGGCCAGCGUUGUCCGAAGUUACUGGGCGUAAAGAGCGCGUAGGCGGGCCCUUAAGUGGGGGGUGAAAGGUUGGGGCUCAACCCCAACACUGCCUUUCAUACUGGGGGCCUUGAGUGCGGGAGAGGCGAGUGGAAUGGUCGGUGUAGCGGUGAAAUGCGUAGAUAUCGAUCGGAACACCCAUGGCGAAGGCAGCUCGCUGGCCUGCAACUGACGCUGAGGCGCGAAAGCCGGGGAGCGAACAGG